rnacentral:rRNA from 1 species
UUAACAGGAUUAGAUACCCGGGUAGUCCACGCCGUAAACGAUGUCGACUUGGAGGUUGUGCCCUUGAGGCGUGGCUUCCGGAGCUAACGCGUUAAGUCGACCGCCUGGGGAGUACGGCCGCAAGGUUAAAACUCAAAUGAAUUGACGGGGGCCCGCACAAGCGGUGGAGCAUGUGGUUUAAUUCGAUGCAACGCGAAGAACCUUACCUGGUCUUGACAUCCACGGAAGUUUUCAGAGAUGAGAAUGUGCCUUCGGGAACCGUGAGACAGGUGCUGCAUGGCUGUCGUCAGCUCGUGUUGUGAAAUGUUGGGUUAAGUCCCGCAACGAGCGCAACCCUUAUCCUUUGUUGCCAGCGGUCCGGCCGGGAACUCAAAGGAGACUGCCAGUGAUAAACUGGAGGAAGGUGGGGAUGACGUCAAGUCAUCAUGGCCCUUACGACCAGGGCUACACACGUGCUACAAUGGCGCAUACAAAGAGAAGCGACCUCGCGAGAGCAAGCGGACCUCAUAAAGUGCGUCGUAGUCCGGAUUGGAGUCUGCAACUCGACUCCAUGAAGUCGGAAUC